rnacentral:rRNA from 1 species
GACGAACGCUGGCGGCGUGCUUAACACAUGCAAGUCGAACGGAAAGGCCCCUUUGGGGGUACUCGAGUGGCGAACGGGUGAGUAACACGUGAGUAACCUGCCCUUUACUUCGGGAUAACUUCAGGAAACUGGGGCUAAUACCGGAUAGGAAUCCUUGCUGCAUGGUGGGGGUUGGAAAGCUUCUGCGGUUUUGGAUGGACUCGCGGCUUAUCAGCUUGUUGGUGGGGUAGUGGCUUACCAAGGCUUUGACGGGUAGCCGGCCUGAGAGGGCGACCGGCCACAUUGGGACUGAGAUACGGCCCAGACUCCUACGGGAGGCAGCAGUGGGGAAUAUUGCACAAUGGGCGGAAGCCUGAUGCAGAAACGCCGCGUGCGGGAUGACGGCCUUCGGGUUGUAAACCGCUUUCAGCAGGGGCGAAGCUUGUGGUGACGGUACCUGCAGAAGAAGCACCGGCUAACUACGUG